CAAGCGAGAGUUUAAGGAUGCUUUAAAGCUGAGAUACGAUUGGCCACUUAGUGAUAUCCCAUCAAACUGCGCAUGUGGAGUGCCUUUCAACGUAGACCAUGCUAUGAUAUGCGGUCGAGGGGGGUUUAUUAUUCAACGCCACAACCAAUUACGGGAUUUAGAAGCUGAACUUCUAAACAUUGUUUGUAAUUAUGUUCAGAUUGAACCUAUCCUACAAGAAAUAAAUGGUGAACCAUUAAACCCAGGCGCAAAUCGUUCACUUGACGAUCGACUUGACGUACAUUCACGUGGCUUUUGGGAGAGGCAAAGGGUAUGUCACCCAAAUGCUAACUCCUGUACACAUCUAUCCUAUCCACGCGAGAAUGAAAGGAAACGUAUGUACAACAACCGGGUUACAUAUAUUGAACAGGGAACAUUUACACCAUUAGUCUUUACCACAACUGGUGGAAUGGGAGAGGAGUGCUUGAGGUAUCACUGUCGACUAGCUGAGCUACUUGCUGAGAAGAAAGGAGAGACAUAUUCGAGGACUAUGUCGUGGUUAAGAGCAAAGAUAUCGUUUUCAAUCCUUAGAUCGGCGCUGCUAUGCAUACGAGGCUCAAGAAUGUUUAGAAGAGCACACUGUAACCCAGGGGACAUUGAUAUUGAAAUAUAGACAAUAUCGGCAAGGAUCC